UUGCUACCCGCUGACGAGCGGCGGACGGGUGAGUAAUGCAUAGGAAUCUGCCCGAUAGUGGGGGAUAACCUGGGGAAACCCAGGCUAAUACCGCAUACGUCCUACGGGAGAAAGGGGGCUCCGGCUCCCGCUAUUGGAUGAGCCUAUGUCGGAUUAGCUAGUUGGUAAGGUAAUGGCUUACCAAGGCAACGAUCCGUAGCUGGUCUGAGAGGAUGAUCAGCCACAUCGGGACUGAGACACGGCCCGAACUCCUACGGGAGGCAGCAGUGGGGAAUAUUGGACAAUGGGGGCAACCCUGAUCCAGCCAUGCCGCGUGUGUGAAGAAGGCCCUCGGGUUGUAAAGCACUUUCAGCGAGGAAGAACGCCUAUCGGUUAAUACCCGGUAGGAAAGACA
rnacentral:rRNA from 1 species